rnacentral:rRNA from 1 species
ACGAACGCUGGCGGCGUGCUUAACACAUGCAAGUCGAACGGAAAGGCCCUGCUUUUGUGGGGUGCUCGAGUGGCGAACGGGUGAGUAACACGUGAGUAACCUGCCCUUGACUUUGGGAUAACUUCAGGAAACUGGGGCUAAUACCGGAUAGGAGCUCCUGCUGCAUGGUGGGGGUUGGAAAGUUUCGGCGGUUGGGGAUGGACUCGCGGCUUAUCAGCUUGUUGGUGGGGUAGUGGCUUACCAAGGCUUUGACUGGUAGCCGGCCUGAGAGGUUGACCGGCCACAUUGGGACUGAGAUACGGCCCAGAAUCCUACGGGAGACAGCAGUGGGGAAUAUUGCACAAUGGGCGGAAGCCUGAUGCAGCAACGCCGCGUGCGGGAUGACGGCCUUCGGGUUGUAAACCGCUUUCGCCUGUGACGAAGCGUGAGUAACGGUAAUGGGUAAAGAAGCACCGGCUAACUACGUG